rfam:Synechococcus sp. SynAce01, complete genome.
GGUGAGCUGCUGUGUUGGUGACUGCCUUUCACAGUUUUCUGAUCUGACUCCCUCUUCGACGUGGGAGGUCUGUCGUGACGGUGCAGUAAGCCGGCCUCGUAGCCGGACACGGAUCCCCACUUUGACCUCUCCCCUGGUUCAUCCAGGUCGAAACCUGGGGCAAGACGGCACAGCGGUUCACCC